CAGUAGCCGCGGUAAUACAGAGGGUGCAAGCGUUAAUCGGAAUUACUGGGCGUAAAGCGCGCGUAGGUGGUUUGUUAAGUUGGAUGUGAAAUCCCCGGGCUCAACCUGGGAACUGCAUCCAAAACUGGCAAGCUAGAGUAUGGUAGAGGGUGGUGGAAUUUCCUGUGUAGCGGUGAAAUGCGUAGAUAUAGGAAGGAACACAAGUGGCGAAGGCGACCACCUGGACUGAUACUGACACUGAGGUGCGAAAGCGUGGGGAGCAAACAGGAUUAGAGACCCCCGUAGUCCCUGUCUCUUAUAC
rnacentral:rRNA from 1 species